AGAUUGAACGCUGGCGGCAUGCUUUACACAUGCAAGUCGAACGGUAACAGGCCGCAAGGUGCUGACGAGUGGCGAACGGGUGAGUAAUGUAUCGGAACGUGCCCAGUCGUGGGGGAUAACGCAGCGAAAGCUGCGCUAAUACCGCAUACGAUCUAUGGAUGAAAGCGGGGGGACCGUAAGGCCUCGCGCGAUUGGAGCGGCCGAUAUCAGAUUAGGUAGUUGGUGGGGUAAAGGCUCACCAAGCCAACGAUCUGUAGCUGGUCUGAGAGGACGACCAGCCACACUGGGACUGAGACACGGCCCAGACUCCUACGGGAGGCAGCAGUGGGGAAUUUUGGACAAUGGGCGCAAGCCUGAUCCAGCAAUGCCGCGUGCAGGAAGAAGGCCUUCGGUGUAAACUGCUUUUGUACGGAGCGAAAGGUCCUGGUUAAUACUGGGACUAAUGACGUACCGUAAGAAUAAGCACCGGCUAACGUACGUGCCAGCAGCCGA
rnacentral:rRNA from 1 species